AGGAAAGGAACAAGGCUUUUCACCCUGCGUUGAAGCUCUGGUCCAGGCUGACGGCUCGGCUCAGUUAGCAGCCAACCCAAGGGGCACCGAAAGAGCAGGAGGUCUCCAGCCGAGAGAAGACUUCCUUUUCUGAGAACCAGAGCAAUUCCCAGCCCUUGGCGCUCGAGGCCUCCAGCUCGAGGAAGGGAAGGGCUCCCUAGGGCCAGCCCUCUCCAGAUCCUCCCGGGGGACGUCGAAGCUUCCCCUGCAGUUGUUCUUGUCGGAGACCCGAGGGCACACUCACCUUUUCCUCGGUCUCUCCGCAAGGGGCUUAGGGGAGCGGCGGAAUUCCCAACUCCGGGGCCGACGCAGAGAGAGGUCGGCGGCACCAAGCCUCCGACGCCGCGCUCAUUACCGCCCUCCAAGCGCACUUUCCACCCCUCUGAACUCCCUCUUCGUUCCGAACACUCACUCUGGUCCCUUGACCCUGCAAUUCCGGUGGGCAGGGGCUCCCACUGAAGCCGGGGACCCGCUUGCCCUGUGACCUGGGAUCGGCCUGGGCGUCUCCUACAACGUCCUCUGGGCAGGAGGAGCCGGAGGCCGCCCGCGGCGCCUCGGGUCGGUUACCUGGGGAUGGUUCUAGGUUGCAGAGGCCGCGCUGUGAGGCGGGAGAGCCCAGAGGACGCGGAAGGGGAAGCCGUUGAGAUGCAAGGAGGGGACAGGGCCUGUGUGGUCUAACGUUGAUGGUGCGGACUGGGAGACAGCUACACCACCGGCUGGGGCUGACAGAGCCCCCAUGGGCGGGCAGACGCACCCGAUCCUCCGCCCGGGGCAUCUUACCUGGAGCCACUCUGCUUCUUAGUGGAAGCACGCUUGGGAAUCCACCCCAGCUGUGGGAAUUUUAACUGGUGUUGGAGACCAGAGACCGGAACCCGGGAGGCCGGGGUAGACGGCUCCGGCUUAGCUACAGUGCGCCUUCUCAAUUUCUUCCUGCACUCCCUCUGCCAACUUCUGGCAAACUUCUCUCCCCUUUCCCCCACUUCCCACACGCCUCCUCCUUUCCGACGAGACUAGUCUCCAGGGCUCGUCCUUCCCGAUUCUGACUUUGUCUUAAAGCCUUGAUUGACGGUUGCAAUUACAAAGGAUGAUGGCUCGGGGAGGCUCCCGCAGCCUUGAUGAGCCCGAGAAGCGCAGUCCUGGCAUAUUUUAUUCAGGCUCAGCGUUACGGGGCUGUGCGCCCCAUUCACCUGGCAGGCUGCAGCUGAGGAGGUCUCGCACUCCCACCCGCGAGGAUGUAACUGCCUUGCUCUCCUCCCCGCCUCCACCUUCCCGCGGUUGCGCGCCGCGUUUCAGAGCGCGCGCCGGGAACAGCCUGCCCUUGACCCGACCUGAGAAGCGUCGGUCGGCCCGCGCGUUUAACGCGUGCAGGCUGCAGAGAGAGAAAAUGCCAAGACUUUCAGUUUCCUGGUUCAAGUUUUCCGGGCUCGGCAAACACAGGUCCCCGGAAGAACAGAGUAGAAGACCCACCUCUACCGCGCGCAUGGGUGAGAGAAGCCUCUCAUGACCCACGCAACCUCGCAAACUUGCAAACCUACAUCCUUGGAAACAAUUUCUUAAGCCUCCUCCAUUCCUACCUUUUGGUGUUCUUAAGAAACCAGAAUAAUUACUUUUUUUUCGUAGCACGUGUCUACAUUUCAGCCCCAGAAGAAACCUAGGUUUUUUUUUCAGUCUCCACAAUGAGGCCGGGAUAGCCCGAGGGGAAAGAGAAGCAAGUUUAUCAGCCCACCGAAGCUCGGGCUCUGCCUAAUUUUUCCGCCCCUCCCGCUCGAAAGCCCAUCAGAAGCCACGUUUGCCUUUCUCCGAAAAUUGAGUUUAGCAAGAACGCCGCAGUUCCGCUCCUGAGUCAGGGGGUUGGGCCAUCCGCCCCGCCUCUGGGCUCCCCACGCCGGCGUCCGGAGCACUUUGUUUUAAAAAGAGAGAGCUUAAAUUUCAGCACAGAUAUCUAAAUUACCAAGAAGCAUCGUAUUGGCCGAAGCUUUGAAAAAAUAAACUUCAAUAGGUGAGAAGUUGUGCCUCGUUAAAAAAAAAAAAAUCCCUUUCUGCUGGGUGUGUAAGUAACUAUUUAAGACAUCAUUAACAACAGCCGCUAGUGCGGAAGGAAAACUGCCAAUUUAGACCUUCUACCCCUGAAAGAGUGCUGGUUAGGUAUAGCCUGCAAAUGGCGAUUGCUUCACCAUCACUAUGGGAGUAUCUUAAUACACACCGCCCCGUCUUUACUGGGGAUGAAAGUGCAAGGUGGAGCAAUUAUCUGGGUAAUCUAGGCUCCUCCACCCCAUCCCCCAGACAACCUCCCAUCCCUGCCCUGAAGGUAAGGUGAGGUUUUUGGAGAGUUUGGCCUGAAUUAUCGAAAUCUGCUGCUCUGUAAAAAACGUUUCACUGUAGAACUUUCUGACUUCAUUUUCUUGGGGGCGUGUUGCCCCAACCCACGGGGCCAGGCGCGCCCGCCUUGGUAUGGUCGGUGCCCUUGGAAGUGAACGGGGAGAUCCGGUCUUGGGAAAGGAGAUGACUGGGGAAAUAAUCUUGGGGAGGUGGUCCAAUCUAAUCUAGCUCUUCCUCUCUGUAAUUAUAAGGGAGAUGUGAGUCAGCUACAGCUCAAAACUGUGGGGCUCCACUCUCGGAACCACCCCUGUCCAUCCUCGGGACAAAUCAGAACAUCGAGUGACGUUCUCAAGGACGAUCGUGGCGCCAGCAGGCCACCAAGCACUUAGUGAAACCAGCUGAAUAUUUGCAUUGCCAUUCUGUUCCCCGUGCCCCCUCCUCAACCUGGACUAGCAACUAAAUCCUCAGCACUAGCCUAUUCUAGCCUACCAUUCCACUGAAUCCGGCCAGACUGGAAGUUUCGGGAAGGACGGCGCAACGUGUCGCGUGGCUUCCAAAUUCCGGCGCUCCUGCAGCACUGGGACCGACCCUCGGAAACUCUUGUUUUAGGACAGCCCUCACGCCAGGGUUUCCGGCUCUUAAGAUCAAAGAGAGCCGGGGCGCGCAGAGCUGUGGGCGUCGAGCAAUUUGGGUCCCUCUAGGGCAGCAAAUAAAGUGGGGGCUUGGAGAAAGAAAACCUCUGGAGGCGGUGGAACUUGGGGGAGCUGAGGCUGCGGACGUCCAGAUCCUGAGCAAGGAAUCUGCAUUCACUGUGGAAAAUGUUAGCGCCGGGCGUGGACCGGAGCUCACUGAAGGGGACACGCUCGGCUUUGCGUCAAAAAAAAGAGGAGGACGUGCUUAAAUUCUCUCUUUCCCUAUCCGCUCCCCCGCCAUAAGACCAAAUAUAUUUGUCUCUUAGGGGAAAAAAGUCUUCUUUCUAAAGUCAGUCACUCAUUUUGAGUGAUUUCCCUGCCCUCCUCAUACCCACUGACUCUGUAACAAGUAGAUGCUCUGAACUUCCUCUCAGUUCCCUGGUCAUCCUCUCAGUAGCCCUGUGAGUUGCCACCAUGCACCACGUAACUGCAAGCUAAUCCUCAGCCACAAUCCAGAGGUCCUUUCCAGGAGACUCUAGAGUAGACCAGAAGCACCUUCCCACCCUGCCCUGCCCUCAGGGCUCCCAUGUGCUGUCUCCACCCCCACCCCCCAAUUCCCCAUCCCACCCUUCAGAACUCACUGGGAUCUAAAUCUGAUUUCUACUGUGGAAUGGAAAGGAAGAUAAAGAGCCAUUCUAGCUUCAUCCGGGAAUGCCUUUCGGAAGUCUGUGUAGACCAACAUUGUUUUCAAUAAUGCCUUUAUAUCAACAAGGGCAGAGAGUUACUACCUUGAGGAAAGGGCAGUGGCUUUCAAAUUCUAUCCAUGGGUUCUAUUUACAGUUUACUCUCCUGACAAGCUGAGUGAUCUUGGGUAAAUCCUGGACCUUUCUGAUUCCAUUUUUAUCAAUAAAGUAGGGCUAACAAAGCAAACUGUAUAGUUGCAUGAGAAAGUGCCAGUAAUUCAGCAUAUCAUGCUGUUAAUAAAUAUCAGUUCUCCUUUG